UACGGAGGGUGCGAGCGUUGUCCGGAAUCAUUGGGCGUAAAGGGCGCGUAGGUGGCCCGGUCAGUUCGUGGUGAAAGCGCGGGGCUCAACUUCCGCGUCGGCCAUGAAUACUGCUGGGCUUGAGCACUGUAGAGGCAGGCGGAAUUCCGGGUGUAGCGGUGGAAUGCGCAGAUAUCAGGAGGAACACCGAUGGCGAAGGCAGGUCGUCUCGGCCAUAACUGACGCUGAGAAGCGAAAGCAUGGGGAGCGAACAGG
rnacentral:rRNA from 1 species